AGCCCGUAGUAGCCGUUGAGUAAACCUGCAGAGGAAGAAGAAGCCUCACCACCAUCAUACAUCCCCAGCUGGUUCAUAUUAUCAUAACCAUCUCCCAGCUGCAUCUGGAAAUUACUAUUAAGACCCUGCUGCUGCUGCGGCUGCGGAGGUGGGCCCGGAGCCGGAGCAAGGGGAACAAAAGACAUGGUUGGCUGCGGUGGCUGCGGAGGUGGGGCCGGAGCCGGAGCCAGGGGAGCAAGAGGCACCAACGUGGGCCCAACAUCUUGAUGACCAGCACCACUUCGGUUGAGGAGCAACCUAGGGUCACGGUAAGCACGGUCACCCUCCCUCUCACGAUACCUAACAAGGAACAGACAUAUAUUAUCGAGUUAAAAUUGAAAAAAAAAACGUUAAAAAAAUAGGUAGAGAUGACGGGUGACCAUGACCUAAUGUAGUCAAUGCUGGUCAAUGCUGGUUACCUGGCGAGGUACAAGGAGAGCG
rnacentral:lncRNA from 1 species